rnacentral:tRNA from 1 species
AAAAAGAUAAGCUAAUUAUAAGCUAAUGGGCUCAUAACCCAUUUAUGAAUAAAUAAUAUUCUCUUUUUA